UUACGGCCACAUCACGAUAUAACACGGGUUCCCAUAAGAUUGCCGAAGUUAAUCAACGUCAAGCCUAGUCAGUAACUAGAUGAGUGACUGCGUGGGAACACCAGGUGCU